UCGAGGGGUAUAAGUCUUCGGAUUUAGAGACCGGCGCACGGGUGCGUMACGCGUAUGCAAUCUACCUUUUACAGAGGGAUAGCCCAGAGAAAUUUGGAUUAAUACCUCAUAGUAUUAUGAAAUGGCAUCAUUUUAUAAUUAAAGUCACAACGGUAAAAGAUGAGCAUGCGUCCCAUUAGCUAGUUGGUAAGGUAACGGCUUACCAAGGCUACGAUGGGUAGGGGUCCUGAGAGGGAGAUCCCCCACACUGGUACUGAGACACGGACCAGACUCCUACGGGAGGCAGCAGUGAGGAAUAUUGGACAAUGGGCGCAAGCCUGAUCCAGCCAUGCCGCGUGCAGGAUGACGGUCCUAUGGAUUGUAAACUGCUUUUAUACGAGAAGAAACACUGCUUCGUGAAGCAGCUUGACGGUAUCGUAAGAAUAAGGAUCGGCUAACUCCGUGCCAGCAGCCGCGGUAAUACGGAGGAUCCAAGCGUUAUCCGGAAUCAUUGGGUUUAAAGGGUCCGUAGGCGGUUUAAUAAGUCAGUGGUGAAAGCCCAUCGCUCAACGGUGGAACGGCCAUUGAUACUGUUAAACUUGAAUU
rnacentral:rRNA from 1 species